rnacentral:rRNA from 1 species
CCUGGGGAAAGGAGGUAGGCGGUGAUCUUAGGCAAAUCCGGGAUCACUUACGCCGAGCACCGAGACGAGUCCUAUGAGGACGAAGUGACUGACACCACGCUUCCAGGAAAAGCCACUAAGCUUCAGCUUAAGAAAAACCGUACCGCAAACCGACACAGGUAGGCAGGGUGAGAAUCCCAAGGCGCUUGAGAGAACUCGGGUGAAGGAACUAGGCAAAAUGGCACCGUAACUUCGGGAGAAGGUGCGCCCUUUGGUGUGGUCACGUGCGUGACUGAGCAUCGAAGGGUCGCAGUAACCUGGCCGCUGCGACUGUUUAUCAAAAACACAGCACUCUGCAAACACGAAAGUGGACGUAUAGGGUGUGACGCCUGCCCGGUGCUGGAAGGUUAAUUGAUGGGGUCAGCCGCAAGGCGAAGCUCUUGAUCGAAGCCCCAGUAAACGGCGGCCGUAACUAUAACGGUCCUAAGGUAGCGAAAUUCCUUGUCGGGUAAGUUCCGACCUGCACGAAUGGCGUAACGACAGCGGCGCUGUCUCCACCCGAGACUCAGUGAAAUUGAAAUCGCUGUGAAGAUGCAGCGUUCCCGCGGCAAGACGGAAAGACCCCGUGAACCUUUACUAUAGCUUUACACUGAACGUUGAGUUCUUCUGUGUAGGAUAGGUGGGAGGCUAUGAAACCAGGACGCUAGUUCUGGUGGAGCCAUCCUUGAAAUACCACCCUGAAGUGCUUGACGUUCUAACCUAGGCCCGUAAUCCGGGUCAGGGACCGUGUAUGGUGGGUAGUUUGACUGGGGCGGUCUCCUCCCAAAGAGUAACGGAGGAGCACGAAGGUACGCUCAGCGCGGUCGGACAUCGCGCACUGUGUGCAAAGGCAUAAGCGUGCUUGACUGCGAGAUCGACGGAUCAAGCAGGUACGAAAGUAGGUCUUAGUGAUCCGGUGGUUCUGUAUGGAAGGGCCAUCGCUCAACGGAUAAAAGGUACUCCGGGGAUAACAGGCUGAUACCGCCCAAGAGUUCAUAUCGACGGCGGUGUUUGGCACCUCGAUGUCGGCUCAUCACAUCCUGGGGCUGUAGCCGGUCCCAAGGGUAUGGCUGUUCGCCAUUUAAAGUGGUACGCGAGCUGGGUUCAGAACGUCGUGAGACAGUUCGGUCCCUAUCUGUCGUGGGCGUUGGAGAUUUGAGGGGGGCUGCUCCUAGUACGAGAGGACCGGAGUGGACGUUCCGCUGGUGUUCGGGUUGUCAUGCCCAUGGCAUUGCCCGGUAGCUACGAACGGAAGUGAUAACCGCUGAAAGCAUCUAAGCGGGAAGCACGCCCCAAGAUGAGAUCUCCCGAGAGCUUGACUCUCCUAAAGGCACCAUCAAGACUAGGUGGUUGAUAGGUCAGGUGUGGAAGCGCAGCAAUGCGUUGAGCUAACUGAUACUAAUGAGCCGUGAGGCUUGACCU